rnacentral:misc_RNA from 1 species
GGUCGAGAGGAUGGCUCAGCCGUUAAAGGCUAGGCCAAAAAUAACACCUAUAAGAGUUCGGUUCCCAGCACCACGGCUGUCCUUCCAGCACCUUUU